rnacentral:rRNA from 2 species
GAAUGUUAUCACGGGAGACACACGGCGGGUGCUAACGUCCGUCGUGAAGAGGGAAACAACCCAGACCGCCAGCUAAGGUCCCAAAGUCAUGGUUAAGUGGGAAACGAUGUGGGAAGGCACAGACAGCCAGGAUGUUGGCUUAGAAGCAGCCAUCAUUUAAAGAAAGCGUAAUAGCUCACUGGUCGAGUCGGCCUGCGCGGAAGAUGUAACGGGGCUAAACCAUGCACCGAAGCUGCGGCAGCGACACUAUGUGUUGUUGGGUAGGGGAGCG